rfam:Brassica napus, WGS project CCCW01000000 data, contig: 9376
GGAAAUGAGGAACAAAUUGAAUUGUACCAUGUACCUUAUUUUGCUUAUUGAUAUUCUGAUUCCA